rnacentral:rRNA from 1 species
UACGUGGGGACCAAGCGUUGUCCGGAUUUAUUGGGCGUAAAGAGCUCGUAGGCGGUUCGGUAAGUCAGCUGUGAAAUCUCCACGCUCAACGUGGAGGGGUCAGCUGAUACUGCCGUGACUUGAGUCUGGUAGGGGAGUGCGGAAUUCCCGGUGUAGCGGUGAAAUGCGCAGAUAUCGGGAGGAACACCAGUGGCGAAGGCGGCACUCUGGGCCAGUACUGACGCUGAGGAGCGAAAGCGUGGGGAGCGAACAGG